AAUAGUUGUGCCUGCCAUAUAUCCCAAAUUCCCAAUUAUAUGUAGCCUAUGGACCUCGACACAGCUAGCCGCUGGCCUCUGGCCUCGCUGUAGCUACGCCUUUGUCUCACAGCUCCCAUCCUACGCCUACCGCACUUCUGAUAUUCGCAGCUAGAUCUUCCUUUCCCUAUUAUCUAUUGCCGUUUUUCCCUCACAUUCUAUAUAGAUUCCACGUUGUUUUGGAAUUUUGUUAUAUUAUAUUCUGUAAUUAUUUGAUACUCAACUUUUAAAGAAGCAUCUUUUUGUUUUGUUUUUUAAUCUGUCACUUUUCUUUCAGGGGCAAUUGUGAGUCUGUGACAUAUGAUGAUUCAAAGAACUUGAGGAACAUUAUCUGGCUGGCUCCAUUACCUGGUGAAUUUGCUAAAUCUUGGUUUGCACCAGGUACCCUCAGUACAUAUGUAUAAAUUUGCAUUCCUUUUCUUAUAAAUCUGCACCAGGUACCCUCUAAUACAAGAUAGAGAUGUUCUUGUGCCUUUUUCUAACUCUUUUUUUGUUGAGUUGUGCCUAGAGUUGGACAAAAUCCAGAUUAGAAUUAAGAAGUUUAAUGGUGUCUAAGUGAUGCUUGUGACAGCUUGACAUUGUCAAUGAUAUCUCACAAUGUGUGGCUUUUGUUGGGUGAUCAAGUUCUUUUUCAUCGAGCAAAAGUAUUUCUUCCAACAAUCCACAAGAGAACAAGGGCAGAGCUCAGAAGCAUGCUUGUGUUAGAUUGAAUCGAUCACUAGAUGUGUGUUUGGUUCUUUUGCCAGCUCCUUCUCCUAUUUGUCAUACACAUGACUUCAUUAUCAAUGUUUCUGGUACCAUGACCAUAGUAAUUGUUUCACUAUUUGGUGGCUUCAUCAUUUCAAAAUCACAUAUGCCAUCAUUAACUAUUUUUUCAAAUGAUUAUGUUCAUUUUCUUAACUGCAAAUGAAUUUUUGGCUCCUAGAUGGGAAAAGGUGUCUAUUCCCAUUGCUUGAACUGCUUCCAAAUACUGUACGAGUAAUAAUCAGAAAAAGGAGGUUUGAACUUACUAAAACAAUCAGAAAAAAUUGAACUUACUAAAACAACUUAUAAUGCCAAAGAUCCUCUCUUUGGUUCACACAGUGAUUCAUCCACUGGAUGAACACGUUGAUUAUUCAUCUCAAAACCAUGCUCUUCCUCAAUCUUAAUAGACAGGUCAGAUAUGAAGGGGGAGAACCAAACAACAAGUGGUGUGAAAAAUAAAAUGAGGCCAAAAGACACUAUCCAAAGGUGUCUAUUUGCUGGAUGAUGUUUGUGGAACCACCAUCCAAGCAAAUAUGCUCCUGCUAUGCUUAACAGCAUAGACUACAUGAAAAUCACCAAGUAUCUCUUUGUUAUCUUCUGCCUUUCCUUCAAGUCUCCAUUCUCUAAUUCUUUAAUUAGUCUCAUCUAAUUGCAGCCACUCAAGGCACAGUGUGCAAAGAUUCUUUUUAUAAAUACAAGAUUUUGGUAAUUUAUAAUUUUAGUUGAUAUUUAUUUUCUGUGCUGUGAGGUUUUCCAUUUUCUUCUUCUUCAUUUCCUUAAGAAUUGAAUAAUAAAUGAGAUAAAAGUUUUCAAGUUUGUAAGGAAAAAAAUGUCCACUUCUCCAAAAUUGAUGUGCUGCUUUUGGCCCAACCCAUUUAAAUAGUUCUUAAAAGCUGUCACUAACAUGAGAUUUGAUGAUGAGCCAAAUCAUAUAUUGCAAGCUUAUAUUACUUUUGAUUUACCAUUCACUCCAUUGAGACCUAUUAGAAUUGAUGGAGCUUUAAAGGUUGAUUUAGUUGGUUUAAUGGCAGAGUUCAGAGUGGGUGAGUGAUGCUUGAUUGAGUAGUUCUAAGGAUAAGGAAGGAAAUUUUGUAACUGCUAGCUUCAAAAUGUUUGUCCUAGACCAAAUUUCAUCAUUUUAAGUAAAUACUAAAUAUGAUACAUUACUUGUAUAAAUUAGUUUUUAUGGCGCUUAUAAUGAAAUUAGUCAAAUUACUGAUUUUCAAGAUUGUUUAAUUGAUGUACCUGAUCAUGUAUUUAUAGAUUCUGAUCCCUCUGUCUCAAAUGUGUUUCUACCCAUUUCUUGUGCUUAUUCAUAGUGUAUCUCAAUUUUUCUGUGACUGUGUCUACCUAUCUAUUGGCUAAGUUGAUCCUUUUUUCUCUUCAAUUUUGAAGCUUACCUUUGGGAUCAUGUGAGAGCUUUGACAAUGAGUGAGCCCAAUUCAUAUUUUUUAUUUUCAAGGAUUUAGAUUCUUCAAGAAGAAAUUGGGCCCAAUUUGUAAGCUGAGGAGACUUCCCCUUGCUCUUCUAUGUUUUUAGAGUUGAAAUAUACUCCUUAAGAGUUGUUCCCAAAGAGCUAUCACGAAAGCCACAAGGAUGAUAUUAUUGGAUUGAUUACAGCGGUUAAAGAUGAGAUUUGUGGAGGGUGGUAUUACAGGGGGACACAUGGAGUUGUUGUUUUUUUUAUAAGCAUGGAGUUGUUGUUAUUGAUAAUAGAGAUCUCAAUGCAAAUUGUGAGGUAGAUAUGGGGAUGGAGGUUUGAAUGGACAAUUAUCUUGAACAAGACCAUGGAGCAAAACCGAGAGACUGUUAAGGGCCUCAAAUUCAUGUCUCAAACUGGUGGUGCUGAUGACAUGGUUAAGGAUGCUAUGAUGGAGGAUUGGGCGCUGACUCUCAGUGAAUAUAUGAGCAGUCAGUUAUGUGCGAUGAAUGGAACAUUUUGGGAUGUACAGAAUGAAAGAUUUUGGCAUUGUUACUCCAUCAAGAAUUCAAGAUUGAAUUAGAGAAUCACCAAUCUUUGCUGUUUCAAAUUUCUAGCCAAAAGAAUAAGAAUGUGGCGGAGAUGGGCUCUUGGGAAGGGAAUCGUUGGGUUUGGAAUUUCCAGUGGAAUGCUGUGAUGGAUGGGGAGUUGGCAAACCAGUUAUCUGAAUUGAAGUCCAUCAUCUCAUCUUUUUCUCUCAUCCAAGGCAAGAAGGAUUCAUGGUUUUGGACUAGAGAAAGGGGGAUGGCCAAUUCUCAGUCAGAUCAGCUUAUGAAGCCAUUUUUGCUACUGAUGUCAAAUUGGAGGAGGAUUGUUUUAAGCUCUUAUGGAAAUCUUUAGCACCUUCAAAUGUUGUUUCUUUGGGCUGGAAGAUCCUUAUCAAACGCAUCCAGACUAAGGACAAUUUAUUGAGAAGAAAUGUCCCAAUUGUAGAUUCUAGCUGUCCUCUGCGUGGUGCCUAUAAUGAGUCGAUUUUACAUCUUUUUUUCUUCUGUCAUUAGGCCUGGAGAUUUGGUGUCGGGUUUUUAAUUGGUUGGGGGUCUGUUUUGUAUGUCCUGGUACUCCAGUUGAUCAUCUUCUGUCCUUUGCUGGGUUGUUUCUGUUGGCCAAGAAGGAUGGUAUUUUAUCAGUAUGGCUGGCAGUUGUUUGGCAUGUUUGGGUGGGAAGGAAUGAAGCAGUUUUCAGAGAAGGGGUUUUUCUACCUGAGUGCAUUUUUUACUUGGUCAAGUUAAAAGUGUGGGAAUGGUUGAAAGCCAGAAGCUGCCACUUCACACAUGCUACCUAUGAAUGGUUCAAUGAACCAAUCCUCUGCCUACUCGAUUAUUAGAUGGAAGGAAUUUUUAAGUUUGCUGGUUCUGUUCAUUUGUACUGAUACACUUGCAAUACUUUGACUCUUAGUCAAAUUAUUGAAUCUCUUUUUUUAAAGGGUUUGGGGUACCCUUUUACCACCUUGAAUGUAUAAUUGCUUAUACAUUCAAGUGAUGAAAUGUUAUCUUGCAAUACUUACUUUCAAUAAUGAUCUUUCCAAAAAGUUUCUCCCA